rnacentral:tRNA from 1 species
UGCGGCGUAGCUCAGUUGGAUAGAGCACCGGGCGCAACGUAUUCGGUCAGUAGCAAGUCCGGAUGUACGGCUCGGAAGGUCAUGGGUUCAAGUCCCAUCGCCGCACCCA